UGAAAAACAAAGUGGCCAAACUUAUUAUGUUUUUAGGGACGAUGCUAACAAUGGUUUUGUUGAUGCGUGCAUUGAAUCCGCUUUCGCACGAAAAGGAAACGGAGGUUUAUUUGGAAAAACUUACCCAGGUGGAUUGCUACAGGAAGGGGUACUACAAAGAUCUUAAAAGGAAAUUCAAAUUAGAAAACGCCAUCCAGAGACACCGCUCAAAUAAGG